rnacentral:rRNA from 1 species
GUGUCAGCAGCCGCGGUAAUACGUAGGUUGCGAGCGUUGUCCGGAUUUACUGGGCGUAAAGGGUGCGUAGGCGGAUAUUUAAGUGGGAUGUGAAAACCCCGGGCUUAACCUGGGGACUGCAUUUCAAACUGGAUAUCUGGAGUGCAGGUGAGGAAAGCGGAAUUCCUAGUGUAGCGGUGAAAUGCGUAGAGAUUAGGAAAAAAUCCAGUGGCGAAGGCGGCUUUCUGGACUGUAAAUGAAGCU